GUCAGGAUGGCCGAGCAGUCUAAGGCACUGCGUUCAGGUCGCAGUCUCCCCUGGAGGCGUGGGUUCCAAUCCCACUUCUGACA
rnacentral:tRNA from 1 species